GUUGAUAAGGUUAAGUGAAUAAGGGCGCACGGUGGAUGCCUUGGCACUAGGAGCCGAUGAAGGACGGGACUAACACCGAUAUGCUUUGGGGAGCUGUACGUAAGCUAUGAUCCAGAGAUUUCCGAAUGGGGGAACCCAGCAUCUUUAAUAGGAUGUUACGAUUGUGUGAAUACAUAGCACAUUCGAGGUAGACGCAGAGAACUGAAACAUCUAAGUACCUGCAGGAAGAGAAAGAAAAUUCGAUUCCCUGAGUAGCGGCGAGCGAAACGGGAAAAGCCCAAACCAACAAGCUUGCUUGUUGGGGUUGUAGGACUCCAAUAUGGUCGUUCUUUCAGAUAGUCGAAUGACUUGGAAAAGUCAGUCAAAGAGGGUAAAAACCCCGUAGACGAAAUGUGGAAGACACCUAGGAGGAUCCUGAGUACGGCGGAACACGAGAAAUUCCGUCGGAAUCCGGGAGGACCAUCUCCCAAGGCUAAAUACUCCCUAGUGACCGAUAGUGAACCAGUACCGUGAGGGAAAGGUGAAAAGCACCCCGGAAGGGGAGUGAAAUAGAACCUGAAACCGUGUGCCUACAACAAGUCAAAGCCCGUUAAUGGGUGAUGGCGUGCCUUUUGUAGAAUGAACCGGCGAGUUACGAUUGCAUGCGAGGUUAAGUUGAAGAGACGGAGCCGCAGCGAAAGCGAGUCUGAAUAGGGCGUUUGAGUAUGUAGUCGUAGACCCGAAACCAUGUGAUCUACCCAUGUCCAGGUUGAAGGUGCGGUAAAACGCACUGGAGGACCGAACCCACGUACGUUGAAAAGUGCGGGGAUGAGGUGUGGGUAGCGGAGAAAUUCCAAACGAACUUGGAGAUAGCUGGUUCUCUCCGAAAUAGCUUUAGGGCUAGCCUCGGAAUUGAGAAUGAUGGAGGUAGAGCACUGUUUGGACUAGGGGCCCAUCUCGGGUUACCGAAUUCAGAU
rnacentral:rRNA from 1 species